UCGGGAAUUUUGGGCAAUGGGGGAAACCCUGACCCAGCAACGCCGCGUGAAGGAUGAAGUAUUUCGGUAUGUAAACUUCGAAAGAAUAGGAAGAAUAAAUGACGGUACUAUUUAUAAGGUCCGGCUAACUACGUGCCAGCAGCCGCGGUAAUACGUAGGGACCAAGCGUUGUUCGGAUUUACUGGGCGUAAAGGGCGCGUAGGCGGCAUGACAAGUCACUUGUGAAAUCUCUGGGCUUAACCCAGAACGGCCAAGUGAUACUGUCGCGCUAGAGUGCAGAAGGGGCAAUCGGAAUUCUUGGUGUAGCGGUGAAAUGCGUAGAUAUCAAGAGGAACACCUGAGGUGAAGACGGGUUGCUGGGCUGACACUGACGCUGAGGCGCGAAAGCCAGGGGAGCAAACGGGAUUAGAUACCCGCGUAGUCCCUGAGCGGGCUGGCAAGGCGC
rnacentral:rRNA from 1 species